CUGUGCACGGUCUGCAUUUGGUGAUUCACAUUCCUUGGCAAUGGAAUGCAAACAGGUGGUAAAUUCCAUCCAAUGUAACAAUACAACAUUGAGGCUGAUAACAAACAAGUACCAUGAGGGAAAUAUGAAAAGGACUUUGGAAAGAGAAUUAAAAGAGUUUGCAUUUGCUUGGCAUAAAACAAAUUAAUGUUGUCAUGGCCAAAAGAUUGUUGCAUUUCUGGGUGUGUGCCAACAUUGCUUAGCAAGUGUAAUGCUUCUUUCCCCACAAAGCUGUUGCAUUCAUGGAUCAUUCUUGUUUGGUGCUGGCAAUAUGUGUUGCAUAGUGGUGCUCUGCUUGCAUUUCCGAUUUAUGAUGUUAUGCGCACGCCUUUUGAAGCUGGACAGACAUGGCUGGGUGGUUUGUGCAUCUUCUUGGAGGAGUGGCUUGUGUGCUGACAAAGAAGGUUGCUUGACCCGUCUUGAAACACGGACCAAGGAGUCUAACAGACGUGCAAAAGAAUGAUUCAAAAUGUGGCAAAACUGAAAGUAAGAGUUAGCAUGUGUGCUCCAACGGCCAAAUG
rnacentral:rRNA from 1 species